GAACGGCAGCACGGGAGCAAUCCUGGUGGCGAGUGGCGAACGGGUGAGUAAUACAUCGGAACGUGUCCUGGAGUGGGGGAUAGCCCGGCGAAAGCCGGAUUAAUACCGCAUACGCUCUGAGGAGGAAAGGGGGGGAUCUUCGGACCUCUCGCUCAAGGGGCGGCCGAUGGCAGAUUAGCUAGUUGGUGGGGUAAUGGCCUACCAAGGCGACGAUCCGUAGCUGGUCUGAGAGGAUGACCAGCCACACUGGGACUGAGACACGGCCCAGACUCCUACGGGAGGCAGCAGUGGGGAAUAUUGGACAAUGGGCGCAAGCCUGAUCCAGCCAUGCCGCGUGGGUGAAGAAGGCCCUAGGGUUGUAAAUCCCUUUCAGCGGGGAAGAUAAUGACGGUACCCGCAGAAGAAGCCCCGGCUAACUCCGUG
rnacentral:rRNA from 1 species